UUUUAUAUUUAUCUUUUAGAGAGGAUGUAUCAAUGUUUAUUCAUCUGAUAACAUUUCAGCCAUUUCUCCUCCUCCUUCCUAUGCUGAUACCAUUGCACAAGAAUGUGGUGAAUGUGUUGCUGUAGUUCAUGGACAAUAUGAAAAACAUCCACCAACAUAUACUGGAGAUGAGCAUAGCAGUAAGACUCCAGUACAAGAUCAAACUAACUCUACUGAUGGUAGCAUUAAUGUUAAUGUAAAAUAAAAUAAUAUUAUUAUUAUUAACACAUUUUAAAUUUUUGAUUUAAUACAUUUGUA